GCCGAGGUGGCGGAAUUGGUAGACGCACUAGCUUCAGGUGCUAGCGCUCGCAAGGGCAUGGGGGUUCGAGUCCCCCCUUCGGCA
rnacentral:tRNA from 1 species